UUACUCGGUUUCCAAGGUCUUUCAAUGACAAGGAUGUGCUUGGCUAAACGAAAGAUAAAGCGGCCACAGUUUUCCUCUGUAACCACCCUCGGAAUGAGUCAGGCUCCCACCUUCCAGCCACAGGACCUCAAAGCUCUGAGGAAGUCGUCGGAAUGUUUACAGAGCAACCGGGGUGGGGGUUGGGGGGGACAAGUCCACCUCGAGCCAUUUCUCGUUAGCAGGAGCACUGGUCACCACUCUGAGGAUGACGUCCGAGGCCUCUUUGACCAGUACAACAAGUUUGUAAAGCAAAUACUGAGCUGGAGAAAUCAUUGAGCAGAGUGGGCUCAAGGAGGCACAAUGAAUCACAGCUUCAGGGUGGGUGGCCGAAAAUUGGGACCCCACUGCAGACAACGGUGGCCAGAAAGAGGUGCCUGCAACCCCAGCUUUAUCCUAAGGGAGAUCCAAGCUGCAAGAGGAUCCCAAUUACCAGACUCAUUAGCCAGGCAACUUUCUGUAGGAUGAGCAAGAAUAUUAAUGGGUUAUUUGCUUUUAGUUCGGGGCUGAAGAAGCACCAACCCGCCAGGAAGAAAAAUGGGACGUCUUUGAAACCUGUGCACAAGAGCACCUGGAGCCACGUCUGCUGUGAAGCCACACACUUUGAUGAGACCAAAAGCUCCUGUCAACUCAGGAUUCAUUGCAUAACCAAGACACAAAAAUAUUUUCCUAAGAUGUCAGGAUGGACUUCCUCUCCUUCUGGAGGAGCAACGCGACUUUUGUUUGUGGGGCUGUGGGGCUCCUUGCUUCUCAUCUGCUCGGCGGAAUUGGCCAGAGCAGCAUGUGCGGAGCCCGGAGCUGGGGCCUGCAGAGAUGAUUACAGGAUCUGCCACGAGCCGGACAAAUGAGGUUGGUGCAGCGUCUGAACGCCCCGAGUCGUAAAUCUCUCAUUAUAAGAGCCAUUAGCCGUGCGCUGCACUUUGGGGGGCUGGGGAGAGAUCCGCUGUCACUGGACCAGACCUGAGAGCCCAGCAUUAAAGGAAACUCCCAGGCUCGGAGACACUCACACCACGGCCAUUACCCUGCAAGCCUCCUUAGCAAACCGAAGCCGCCCCUCUGCAAAACUUUCCAACAGCUUGUCAGCUAUGCGAGACGGUAAGAACAAGGUUGCUAUUCUCCCCGGUGUGCUUUCUGAGUUCUUUCAUCUUUUGUUUCUGCUAUUAUUGUCAUUUAUUGGGACGAGGAUCUCGGUACUCCCUGUCCCCUAUUAUCCCCGCCUGCUGGAGAGUAGACCUGAAAUUUAGGCAAGAACCAGGGAAACUGUCCCCUUAGAUGAGUAGGCACAUAAGAAUCCAAACCAGCCUUAAAUGUCAGCUUGUCCACACCUACCACAAUGCAAAACAAAGGACACAGAGGCUCGGAGAGGGGCGGGGCUUCCCAGAGGCCCCAGCUGGAGAGUGGCACAGGCAGCUCACUCAGGUCUAAUAAAGGCUCCAGAGCUCUGCCUCUUACUCUAGCUCUCUUCUGACCACAGCCCUUCCUCCUGCUGGGCCAAGCUCACUCGCACUUUCUCUCUCUCUCUCUCUGCAAUUGAUUUUUUCUUAAUUUAAUAGCUUUAUUGAGAUAUAAUUCAUAUACCAUAAAGCAUACCCCUUUAUGUUUGCAAUUCAGUGGGUUUUAUAUAUUCACCAGGUUGUGCAACCAUCACCACUAAUUCCAGGUCAUUUUCAUCAUCCUCAGUAGAAGCCCCCUACCUGUUAGAAGUUCCUCCCAUAACUGCUUUGCCCCAGCCCCUGGCAACCACUGAUCUACUUUCUCUGUCUGGAUUUGCCUGUUCUGGA